UACGAGGUGGGCGAGCGUUGUUCGGAAUUAUUGGGCGUAAAGGGUGCGUAGGCGGUUUGGUAAGUCUUAUGUGAAAUCUACAGGCUCAACUUGUAGUCUGCAUGAGAAACUGCCGGGCUUGAGUAUGGGAGAGGUGAGUGGAAUUCCUGGUGUAGCGGUGAAAUGCGUAGAUAUCAGGAGGAACACCUGUGGCGAAAGCGGCUCACUGGACCAUAACUGACGCUGAUGCACGAAAGCUAGGGGAGCAAACAGG
rnacentral:rRNA from 1 species